rnacentral:rRNA from 1 species
AGGAACGCUGGCGGCGUGCCUAACACAUGCAAGUCGAGCGGAGGCAGCGGAAGAGCAAUCUGAGGCUGUCUGAGCGGCGGACGGGUGAGUAACGCGUGAGCAACCUGCCUUCCACAGGGGGAUAACGUACCGAAAGGUACACUAAUACCGCAUGAGACCACGGUACUGAUGGUACAGGGGUCAAAGGAGGAAUCCGGUGGGAGAUGGGCUCGCGUCCGAUUAGGUAGUUGGCGGGGUAAUGGCCCACCAAGCCUAUGAUCGGUAGCCGGCCUGAGAGGGUGAACGGCCACAUUGGAACUGAGAGACGGUCCAAACUCCUACGGGAGGCAGCAGUGGGGAAUAUUGGGCAAUGGGGGGAACCCUGACCCAGCAACGCCGCGUGAGGGAAGAAGGUUUUCGGAUUGUAAACCUCUGUUCUUGGAGAAGAGUGUAAGACGGUAUCCAAGGAGGAAGCCCCGGCUAACUACGUG